CCUUGUCACUUCUUCGUCACGUGUCACUCCUUACAACUGGACGGAGAACUGAUAAGGGG
rnacentral:pre_miRNA from 1 species